GACGUAGGGCGCGAGCGUUGUCCGGAUUUAUUGGGCGUAAAGAGCUCGUAGGCGGCUUGUUGCGUCGACUGUGAAAACCCGCGGCUUAACUGCGGGCUUGCAGUUGAUACGGGCAGGCUAGAGUUCGGUAGGGGAGACUGGAAUUCCUGGUGUAGCGGUGAAAUGCGCAGAGAUCAGGAGGAACACCCGUGGCGAAGGCGGCCCUCUGGCUCGACCCUGACGCUGAGAGGCGAAAGCGUGGGGAGCGAACGGG
rnacentral:rRNA from 1 species